AAAGGGAAAGCCGAAAACCUUUACAAAAGAGUAGGUG
rnacentral:ncRNA from 1 species